GCUGUGAUCGAAACGGUGCUCUCCAGCCAUUUCCAGGCUCAGCCAACACUGGCUGCCUCGCGUAUUUGGUAAUUCAGUGAACUGCUUGAUAGAAAGAGAAAGCUGCAUAAAGCCGCUUGCUGUUAGAGAGUGGGAGGUUAAUGAAGUUCAUUUUACAGACCAGUAGUGCAAACCUGCUAUCAGAUGGCUUGCACAGAUCCCAGAUGGCUUAAGUAAAGCUGGGACUUAAACAGGUACCCAGCAUUUUGCCAUGUGAUUAAUAAAGCAUCAAGACACUUACAUUGCUUCAGCAGCAGGAUUAAUGACUGUCCAUAACUACGUGCUUUGACCAAGAAGGGGCACACGUGAACGCUGAGGACCUCUAAAUCCAACUUUUAGCUAUGGUUACCACGUGCACCUACGAAGCCCUGCUGACUCCACGUGCUCCUCAGGCACCCGACACCUUGCUCCAGUGCUCAUGGGUGCCCCAGCAAGAGCGAUCCUGAAUGAGCACGUGCACUGCCACGCCAGGGGGAGGGUGUGGAGAUGUUGAAACCAAACACAGCUGCAGCUGUGGCAGGUGGUGGAUCCCUGUUCCAGUUGGAUUUUCAGCUUAAGGCCCAGGAAUCUUACAAACUACAGGAAUUCUGCACGUGGACAUCUUGCUAAGUCAGGUCUCAAAAGAAGUGCUUAAUAAGGUCUUAACUUCCUAUUGAGGAGAGUCCUUUGUGGAAAUACGAUUUAGAGCAGGAUUGGCUGCUAUAUAGGAAUGUUAAAAAGGACUAUGACAGUUUUCUAAAUCACUGCUUGCACUCUCAAGGAUGUUUGCAUGAGACAGGGUAAGUUAACCCUGGUGCAACUCCGUCUCAGCAUCAGUCCCACUGCUUCCAGCUGUGGACAUCGCUUGUUUGCUGCAAGGCUGAGAUGUCUGUGGACCGUGCUGCAAUUCCCAAGCUCCAGGGGAAGCCAAAGAAACCAGACUGCACUGAUGAACAAUGACCAACUCGAGCGGGGUCACAGAGGAAGGACAGCGAAGGCAACUAGGAGCGUAUCUCAAACAAUCCUGCUCAGUUUCACGUGGAGAGACUGCUGUGCAGAGAACAAAAGGUUAAAAAAACAAAAAAAGUACAGAUCUAGCCAGUUAGGACGCAACCGCUGGAAGUCAUUAAAGAAGAAGAGAGCAAUGUUUUCACUUUCCCCACAGACGCGACACAGGCAGGUCAAGGGCUGGUGAGCGGCUGCAGCAUCUACACGUUCGGCCUAGCAGAUCAGCAGCAGCGCUUUAUACAGUUACAGCUUUUGGCUAACUUUUGCUCUUAUGCUAACAACCUUACAUGCCAAUCUGCAGUGUAGGCUGUGGCAUGAGAUUACUGCUGUAUUUUUUCCAAGUUCAAUGUAUGUAGGUGAAACCCUUUUAUUUUCCAGGUGGAAUUUCUGUGGCUGAAAUCUUUCACCAGGCACCAGAAGGCAGCUGGCUAAUGACCAUUUUUUUAAGCCCCAAAUUUCUAGGGAGACAUCAGCGUACCCGGAAGCACUGUCAGAGGGACCCGCAAAAAGCAGCACACCAGUUUUUGGCAAUGAGAGAUGAGACAGCUACUGGGCUAACCUUGCUUACCAGAGACAUUUUGGCUGUGGAAGGCCUUGUCUCCCACCUUCGACUGGCGCAGGGGUAGACCACUGGUUUGGGACCCUACCAGCGGCCACGGGUAGGGGCCGGGCUGGGCUCUCAGAGCUGUGGUCCUCCUCCCCAGCUGCAACAAGGCAAUAAUUCGCAUCAACACCAGCCCUUCGCUGAUGCAUCGUGCGGGGUGUCUUUGGGGAAGAGAGGGGAAAGAAAAGGUUUACCCAUGCCUGUCCGUUGGAGGGGGAGCACCAGCGUGCCGGCAGGGCCUCUCGUCUCCCUCCUGGCAGUGCCUCUCCGGAAAGCAGCUCCUAAAAUAAAAUCCUUUUAAAGGAGCAUGGUAAAAUAGCAGCAGAAUAAAAGAACAGGGGAAGAAAAAGCCUGUCUUCAGCUUCCCAUUAACCUGCCCCUUGACUGCCUUCAUCACGUUAAUUUUGUAUUUUACACUUGUUUGCUCAGCGGGGAGCACAGAUGGCUGCACCCACGUGCAAGACGGCCGACGCUGGUGGCACCUCUGUCACUUCCCCCUCGACGCGGCGAGGGGGAGCUCCCGGCCGGCGUGGGCACAGCAGUGGGCUGCCAUGGGUUAGUAAAGGUGGUCAGCUCGUAAUUAUGGCUCCCUGGUUGGCCUCGGCCUCUCGGGAAUAAGCGAGAGGGACUGAGCAUGUAGAGGCUGUGCAAAGGCUGGAGGGGGGUCUGCACUGGAGGGAGGGAGGUCCCUGUUUCAGCUCACUGAGGUGUUUUAGAGGGAGCCAGUAUCUGUAUGAGGGAAAAUAUUAAUAUUUGAGCAUGCUAAGUGACUACAUUAAUUUCCCGUAAGCAUUUAAUAGCAUUACAUAUGAAUACAGAAAAAGCAAGACGUUUUCCUCCGUCGCUUUUCCGACGGCCGGAGGCACAUCUGUCGGAGGGACUGUUUUCACCUCCCGCAGCUUCUUUACCAAACUGUAUUACUCUGGGCCUGUGGUGAGACAGUUAAUUGUGCUCCUGAGACUACCGCCCCUGCAUACAGAAGUCUCGUUCGCCAUAAGGAUGACAAGAGCCCAAUUCGCCAGCCCUUAGCAGACGGCCAAGCGCCGCCGCCCCGGCUUUGCUCCGCGCGCGGGCAGGCGAGGCAGCAGGUGAAUUCUCAAGGCGGAGCGCUUGCGAGGCAGCCUCACGCUCGAAGUCGCCUUACUGCUGAUUGUUUCCUCUCAGCAUACUGUGAAACAAGGCAUAAAAAUGGCUCGGACUAGCGCGCUGUGCAGAAGCACCGGUCACAGCCCUAAAAGGCCACAAGUCACGACUCUGACUGACACCGGAGCACAAAACAACGAAGGGAGGGUAAAACGUUCUCUUUUUAGUUGAGAGUCGGAGCAAAGUUACAAAGUAUAAAGCAUAAAACACAGGGCGGAUUCUGACCGUUGCGGGAAACUCGAAACCUGGUGGCGCCUCUGCACUUUUGUUAUUAAGCAUUGUCCUCCGCAUAGGUCUUUUCCCCGUCCACUGAUAACACGUUGCUAACUUUCAAACAGCACUUGAGACCUGACUCAAGCAACACCCAAGUUAACCCACCCGUAACUUGCAUUUUCCUGCCCUCCCUCGCAGAGGGAUGCCCACAGCCCCUGCGCGUCCUGCCGCGGCACGGCUCACGCCUGCGUUUUGGGCAGCCCUGGCCUCCUCAGCACCAGAGGAUGUGGCCACCAAACCCCGCUGGCAGGCUGCUGGGCCCAGGCAGCCUUCUCAAGGUAACAUGCUGCCGGCCGCAGGGACUGCCCGAGCCUGUCUCGGGUUUUAUCAGCUGCCUCCUCCUGUUUUCAAAAAUAGAGCCGCAUUGAUGCCAACUGCUAGUACAAGUCAUUGCCAGCCUUGGCUGUUUAUAGCUUUUUUCCACUGGAACAAAGCUAUAGUCAGAAAGCCAGAAAGAGUUUGUUGAAUAAGAGGGCUAAGAGGCAGGUCUGCCUAUGUGGCCAGACGACUUUAUCCAAAAGAAACAAUUAUGGAGGAAACAAAAAGUCAUAGGACAACUUUGAUUAAUUCAGUGCUAAGAACAGAACAGUUUCAGCAUGUCUUCAGCCCCAAAAGCCUGAAUAUGACAGUUUGAUGGGGUAGUUCCUUAAUCCUGAAUUCAGUUAUUCCAGGUGCUUAGACCCAAAUCUAGGUUAAACUUGCAACAAAGGCGUCUUUUCAGGAAAGGCUCGUGCGGGGUUCGUAACCCUGCACCAGCAGGCACAGGUAGCAGUGCUGCUGCCGGGCUCCUGCCAGACCCGCCAUUUCGUUGGCAUCGCCUGGAGCUCCCUCCUGCUGGACCUUUUCCUCCUGAAAAGCCCAUGAGUUUUUAGUUCAGAGUCCACAGAGGUAACACACAGACCACACAGCAAUAUAUCGGAGAUCUAACACACCUACUGUGUGUUCCUCAUCUGUAGUAAGACACUCAAAGAUUUCCGAUAUCUAGGCAAAAUCACUGAAAGACUCAGUUAUCAAAAUCAUAGCAGGCAAUAACCUCUUAGGUAGCUAGAGGUCAAACCUCAUCUAGAGACACUGAAUCACUCUUCUUUGAAAUUCAAUUUAGAGGAGACAGUUCACGAAGCGAACAAAAAAAAUUCAAUUUCUUAAGCCUGAUGUCUUACUAGUGGUUUGCCUGUUCCCCCCACUCCCAAAUUCCUAAUUUUUUUCUUCUCAGACAAUUUUCUUGUGAAAGAAACAUGAGUAAUUUCUGCUAAGCAAAUGAUGUGUUUUGGAGUGUAGCAACUGUAAUGACCUCCCGGAUUAUUAUUAGUUGCCUUGCUAAUUGCAGUAAGGAAAUGAAGGACACGAAGGUAGACAGGGAGCAAUGGGGGGAACAGUGCCUGCAGGUUCCCUAGCCCAGAGCUGUUGAGCUCAGCACAAAGGUCAGGCACUUUGAUAACAUUAAUGGAACAAAACUGCCUCUGCCUUUUAAAAUUGUCUCUAAAUCUCAGAGCGACACAGCAACAAAAGGAAUCUGCAAAGUCUUAGCCAGAAACUUCACAGGUCUAAUUCCCCCAUCACUGUAUAGUCUAAUGCUGAACACAAGAUGCCUGAAAGUUUCUGUGUUCAGGACUUUCUGCAAAAGUUGCUCCCUUAUAUUGCAAGCAAUCACUUAUCUGCAGUCAUGUGCUGCUGAGUAACCAGAGACCAAUCUGCCAACCACUUCCAUAAAGGACAGGCUGCCCAAAGAGGUUUUUUUUUUUCUUUUCCCAUGAGAAAGUACUAAAAGAAUAUAUUCCUCUGCACCAGAACAACAAAAAAACUUGAGCAGAAUAUUCCUGGCUAUUUUCCUGCUGCUAGCUCUUCCACAUUUUCUCCAGUGAUCUGGACAACAUCACAUCAAACCGUAAUUCAUGAUGAGUCCGAUUUUACUACCUUAGCAAUGGCUGGCUUUGGCUGUGUAGCUGUUCCCAGCCACUAAAGAGGUCUACAGAGUGCCUCUGUGCAAGUCUGGCUCUGCACGGCAUCUGGUCUUUGUGACACCUGAUGUUUGAAAAAAAAGCAAUUAAAGCUCCAUCAUAAAAAUAAAAACUCAAAGAUUCAGUCAGAAAACAGCAUUCCCUUGUACUUGUGCUUUGCAGAGAGAUGAGAUAACAUACCUUGUGCAGCCUAUCCGUUCUCCAGGCUGUUUGACUUGGAAAAAACGCUAGGUACAACUAACUCCCCACGAGCUCCAGAGACAGAAACUUAACUACUUGAAGAACAGCCGCUUCAUGAUGUUGUAGUGUGCUGUGGACCCACAAAAGAAAAGAGAUCGUGGGCAGUUUACCUGAACAAUUUUUACCACUGCAAAAACACCCAUUACUUCCUUCCUCUCUAUUUACUAAAUAACCUAAAAUAUCUCAGUGAGUCUAGUUGUGCGGCAAUGCGACAUUUUUACUGUUAGUGCCUUUCCACUGAUUACUCUUCCCCAUAACUGCCCCAGUUCACAAUAACUUCCCGGGGCUCAAGUUUUGGGCUGAUGGCCUGGUUUGCAUAAAAGGUUGGAGAGCAGUAAAGUAGAAUCAAUCUGCACCACAGCUGGCUCCAGCCACUGCUGUUAUCCUAUUUUCACCCGGGCUUAUGAAGUUGAAGCAAAAUGCUCCCCUUUCAGAGUUGUUAGGGUGCCUGCUGUGAAGAUGCAGUGAUGUCAGCCCCAAAUAAUUAAGUUGUUAUAUUAUAACUGUGAGUCUGUGCUCCAUUAAGUGAGUUCCCGCUGACUGAUUAAUGAGCAAACAAAAAUUCACAUCCCAUUAAUAUUUUUAGAGUUACAUUAAACGUAAAAAAGAAAACUCAAGUGCUUAGCAGUGACUACUUGGGAGUCUUUUUCUGAAAGACCAAGAUGGAAACAUGCACUAUCCCAUCACUACAUUUUGAAAUGACUGAAAAGUUUAUUUUCUUUUCACGGGGUGGAGAAUUAGGUAACAACACAGUCUCACUGUUUUGCUGUUGCUUCUGUGCAACAUUCAAAUCCUGUCUUGUCAAAAGAGCGAUAAUUUUCCCCUUCCUGUAACAACGCUGCAACUACAGUAUCUCAGAGGCUCUGAAAUAUACAGUCCCCUUGGUUGUGCCCACUAGAAAUUUGAGGAGAGUCUAAAGGAAAUAUUCUUAUUUGUCAAUAUAAUGCACAAGAUUUACAGAGAAUCUAAAAAAAAAAAAGAGAGAAGAAAUCAGUGGUAUUGAUACAGUUACCGCUUGUGGGAAGAAUGGAGCCCAGCCUCAAGUUUACCUUUCUGUGUUUUCCCUGCAAGGGCAGUGAGUGAGCGUGGCAUCCGCUAGCGAGGACUCGGGUGAGAUGCGGCCACUGGGAGGGGACCUAUAGAUCACAGCUGUCUCAGGCAACCGGGACCUGAAGUCACAUACAGCUUUUAAAUCACGACUCAGGCUUUGAAAAUAAAGCCAGCACAGUUCAGAGAUUAAUUCGAGGUUUAGGCUUCCCAUGAAUGAUGACAUUCGCGACACAGCCAAGCAAGUGACAGCCUUUCUGCUCGCACCAUUAUCCCUGGCAUGAUCUGCACGAAAGCGGCAGAGCCUUGCUUCUAUUCUUUUCCGCAGAUGGUAUAAAAGGAAAAAAACAGGAUGUGAAGUUUACAGCUCAGUGCCCUGAUUUCUGGAGGUCUGUUAGCUGAAAUGGAUCUUCUAACAAAAUAUUUAUAUGCUCUUAGAAGCUUUUUAAUGAAAAGGAAUAAGUGCUAUUUGUGUUUUCACUGGUUGUAUUUGAGAAUCCUGGUCAACAUAAAUUAUUCAACACACAGAAUUUAUUAUCAAAUUAUAAACAUAUGGCUUAGCCUGAGAAAAUCUUUCCUAGAGAAACAAAUGUUGCUCCCAAGUACCACAGAGGUCUACAAGCCUAGUUGCAAGAUUUGGUACUCUAUUAAGGAACUGAAACUUUCAACAUAAAUAGCAUGAACUGCCUACUAUUUAAACGAAUAGUAACCUGCAGCAACAGGCUGGGUGUACCCUUGUUUACUCCAACCAGCAUGCUGUGCCUUACAGGAAAUACCGAAAGAUAACAGACGAGGUGACAUCUCCCCACUUCCUGAAGGACACACUUGUUAGUAUAUCAGCAAGGACACUUGCAGCAGAUGAUGUUUUCUCCACUGUAAGUACUCACAUCUAUUUUAUUUAUAAUGCGAUCUAAAAGGCAAAGGCUUCAUACACAAUGAAAUUGGGUAUUUUGUAAGAAAUACAGCAAUAACAACAACAACAACAACAGCAACAACAAAAAGAACUGGGGAAAACAGCACGUUAGGUGUCAUUCCAUUUUUAUCGUCCUUAGCUACAAAACAGGCUUCCUGGGGUGAGGUAAUCUUCAGGAGACGCUCUCCGCCUAUGCUCUGGGACACAGCGCUCUGCUGCAAGGACAAGUCUAGCAACGCUGAUAAGAUCCUUCUCCACCAUAAAGGCGCCCUUCUGUUCCUCCUCAAGAGAUGUGAAAAGCAGAUGCACCAAAACAGUAUCUGUACCCUAUGAUGCCUUUCACCUUAAGAAGGCCGAUGAAAUGGAGGUUGGGAAGUCCGUUAGGGAUGUCGCUACUCAAGGUGCUCAGAUAUGAAGGAAUGGGCAGCAGUUUAAAACGCGGAGGUAAAGGAAAACGGAUAUCUCCAAAUUGGCACCUAACAGGUAAAUGCAGGUAAAGACCACUGUAAGUGACAGGGUUGGCACUGCCAGGCGUCUGGCAGUAGGUUCUUUAGUGCAUCCUGAAAAACUUACUGUAUCAAACUCACUCCGAGGGAGUCGCUUUUCAAAAGCAGUUAAUAGCCUAAGGAACAGCCCUCUCUAUAAUGUUGAUGACUGUAAAAUACUAUGAUGCUAACAUCUUAUUUAAGGCCAGAUAAACAUUGCAAGCUGACUGUUUGUUGUUUUAGUUAGGGUUUUCAUUACAUACAAAGGGAACAAGUUGAAAUUUAGCAACUGCCAAAAUGUCUCAAACCAAUUGGGAAUAGGUUGGUUUUUGAUCUCAGACAGGUCACCCUUGUCUGAACACCCUUCACUGCUGCAUAACGGCUUGCUUAUGCUCGCCAAAGAUACUAGGCCCUCUGUUAAUGUCAGACUUUUCCAACCUAAGGCAGAUUAUAUAAAGACAUCUUACAUAUUAAAGUUCAUAGGUAUUCUUUCUCAGACUUUCUGAAAAGAGAAAUCUUGGUUUCCAGAUUCAAAUUCCCAAGCAUACCAUAUUUGUUCUGUACAGGCUUUAAACUGCUUCAAGGGCUCUUCAGAAACAACUGCAAGGAAAUAGGUGUGAAUGGCUGCUGUAGCACAGGCUUUCUACCCACGAUUAACAACUCGGGUUUUUUUUUUGCAGUGAAUUUCCUGUCCAGCAAAGUAAAUGAACUACUGAAUUCAAAUAAAGUUUAGUACUUUUCUGUAAAAAUAAUAUUUACCCCAAACUAACAAACCACACAUAUGCACAAAAUUACUUCUUCCUUUUUGCAGAACAGGCUGAAUUGCAAAGAUCUGGAGCUGUGCUUUCUUGCAGCUUUUUGACAGAAUCUGAGGGGAAAAAAAUGCUCUAAAUUCUUUCAUUCCCUUGUGCUGCAGAGAAAUGGCACUACAUGAUGUCUCUAAAUUGGCACAUAACAGUGCAGAGACUGAUGUAUCUAACACCCUUUUCUGUCUGUACUGGAUUAUUCCUUAAUUAAGGCAUAAAGCUAGUCCAGCCUUUAUUGUUAAAAAAAAAUCACAAAGCUAACGAAGAGCAUGAAUUGCUUUUCCAGUCACUGGCCAAACAAUACGCAGCAUCUAUAUUUUCUGCAUUAUCACGUGCAGGCAAGCAAUAAUUCAGAAGAAGUUAUGCAUCUACCAGUCAAUAUUUCCAUGCCCAGAGAGAUAUUGCAGUUACAGAACAAUUUGUCAGGGCAGAAACAUUAUUUGAAUGUAGGAAACAUAGGCUCAUCCAACUGCUUUUGUUGCGUGUACUUAUUUGACACCGGCUGUUCAAUAUGGACAAUCAAAGCAAAGAGUAUCAGGUAUGCUCUCAGCAGCCAAACCAUUGCAGCCUUUUUGCAGAGCUUAUGUGAGAGUCAAACAAGUAUAUAACACUAAGGAUACAUCUGCAGUACCUUUAAACUUGCCUCCACAAUCAACUCAUUUUCUUUCAUUUCUAAGCUUAAACUCCUCAGAAAUGCCACAAACAAUAAACCCACUCCAGCUAUCCAUCUGAAGUGUAACAGGGUCUUCCCGUUACCUUAAAAGGAGAGGAUAUCAUUUUUCAUGCAUCUGUUAUGCAGUGACAGGGAAGAGAGAUAGUUAUACUUUCUACAGGUUGGGGUACGAUGUACAGAACAGCUAAGGCAAGAUUUUUUCAAAGCUGCCAGCAACAUUUUCAGACACAGCAAAGCACUUCACCUAUUUAGUCCAAAUGUCCAGUCUGGUGGUAUUUAAGCAUGUAACCCCUUUAGAUGCCAACUCAUGGGAUUUACAGAAGUCCCUGUCUACAUUUUCAGCACCUUCUGUUUCAGAAAAUUUGCUCCAUGGUGGUUUUUUGGCUGCAGGAGCCCUAUGCACUGAGUUGACCCUGGUCCCAGGUCAGCAUCCCACCCACGAGACCAUCCUUCCUGGGGGACAACCAAGCCAAAGGACAACCAACACCCACCCUCGCUCCUUGCAGCUCUGCCACUUGGUGUCCAGCAAGACUUUUAGUUUGCUGCCAAGCUGUUACUUUGAUUUUCUCCUACAGUGCAGCUGGAGCAUUUGAUGCCCUGUACCCAGUCCUCGGGUAGCUGGGAGACCUCCUUCAUCUGGCAAGGUUGGAAGCAUGGCAUAGUGUCUGUUUCCAUAAUCUUUGUAGGGACUACAGCAAAGAUGGCAGUAUUGGUCUUUGGAAAUCACAGCCUCCAGAGUCACAGUUCAUCUAAGGAAGACAAACAGCGGGGGUACAUAUCCAAAGUGGGACAGAAAAGGCCAUGUUUCUCCUGGCACUGAGGCAAUUUAAUGAUCUCCAUCUGUUCUGAACCGAAUUCCCUCGCCAGCCUGCGUUUCUUGCACUCUUCCUUCCUAGAGCCGUGCGAAGGUCCAGCUGCAGUGCAGCCUCUACUGCUGACUUUAAUGGCCGCUAUGAAUUUAGUGCGGGUGAAGCAGCAUCUUAAAGUGCAGGUACGACAGGACAGCUUCUGACUUUCUUCCUCCAUUAGACAGGUAAUCCUAAAAUAAUGAUGGAUAUCCUGUCCUCAUCUCCCUUCCUAAGCAACCCAUGCGUCUGGACAAAGGAAAAAUAAGAACGUGCUAUUAGAUCCAUCUCAGUGAACUACUCAGUGCUAUGGGACAGUGCUAUGAAGCUGCUAUGCUCUAAACAUCACUUUAUUAAACUCUAACGUGCCUAACACAUUUGCUAUUGAUGUGUAUUUACAGCUAUUCUUUGAGCUGUUUGUAAACCUAUUUCCAGGCAACUAGACUCAACAGUCUCUACAUUAGUCUCAUGCUCCCCCUCUGUUAUCUUGGUAUGGUUAGUAGCCCUUUUCCCCUCCUGUGCCUUUUCUUUGAAUUAACUCACCUUCAGUCUUUAGCUGAGAAGGGAGGCCACAGAGUCACAAGACACCACAGAACAUUUUUAAAACAAAGAAGAGGCACUUUUACAAAACAGAAAAUGUGUUCUAAUCACCAGCCAUUCCUAAUAUUACCCUCCUCAUCAAUAUUACAUGAGCAUUUUCAAAGAAAUCUCUCAGUCCC